GACGAACGCUGGCGGCGUGCUUAACACAUGCAAGUCGAACGGAAAGGCCCUGCUUUUGUGGGGUGCUCGAGUGGCGAACGGGUGAGUAACACGUGAGUAACCUGCCCUUGACUUUGGGAUAACUUCAGGAAACUGGGGCUAAUACCGGAUAGGAGCUCCUGCUGCAUGGUGGGGGUUGGAAAGUUUCGGCGGUUGGGGAUGGACUCGCGGCUUAUCAGCUUGUUGGUGGGGUAGUGGCUUACCAAGGCUUUGACGGGUAGCCGGCCUGAGAGGGUGACCGGCCACAUUGGGACUGAGAUACGGCCCAGACUCCUACGGGAGGCAGCAGUGGGGAAUAUUGCACAAUAGGCGGAAGCCUGAUGCAGCAACGCCGCGUGCAGGAUGACGGCCUUCGGGCUGUAAACCGCUUUCGCCUGUGACGAAGCGUGAGUGACGGUAAUGGGUAAAGAAGCACCGGCUAACUACGUG
rnacentral:rRNA from 1 species